rnacentral:rRNA from 1 species
AAAUGAAUAGACGGGGGCCCGCACAAGCGGUGGAGCAUGUGGUUUAAUUCGAUGAUACGCGAGGAACCUUACCAGGGCUUAAAUGUAGUCUGACAGGCGUGGAAACACGCUCUUCUUCGGACAGAUUACAAGGUGCUGCAUGGUUGUCGUCAGCUCGUGCCGUGAGGUGUCAGGUUAAGUCCUAUAACGAGCGCAACCCUUGUCGUUAGUUGCCAGCGAGUAGUGUCGGGAACUCUAACGAGACUGCCGGUGCAAACCGUGAGGAAGGUGGGGAUGACGUCAAAUCAUCACGGCCCUUACGUCCUGGGCCACACACGUGCUACAAUGGCCGGUACAACGGGCAGCCAUCCGGUAACGGAGCGCGAAUCCUAAAAACCGGUCUCAGUUCGGAUCGGGGUCUGCAACUCGACCCCGUGAAGCUGGAAUCGCUAGUAAUCGCAGAUCAGCCAUGCUGCGGUGAAUACGUUCCCGGGCCUUGUACACACCGCCCGU